rnacentral:rRNA from 1 species
AACGCUGGCGGCGUGCCUAAACAUGCAAGUCGAACGAGAAAGCGGGCUUCGGCCCGUUAGUAGAGUGGCAGACGGGUGAGUAACACGUGGGUAACCUGUCCGGAGGCGGGGGAUAACUCCCCGAAAGGGGGGCUAAUACCGCAUAACAUUCACCGGGCUUCGGCUCGGAGAAUCAAAGCUUGCCUCUACAUGUAAGCUAGUACCACCGGAGGGGCCCGCGGCCCAUUAGCUUGUUGGUGGGGUAAUGGCCCACCAAAGCUACGAUGGGUAGCCGGCCUGAGAGGGCGAUCGGCCACACUGGAACUGAGACACGGUCCAGACUCCUACGGGAGGCAGCAGUGGGGAAUUUUGCGCAAUGGGGGAAACCCUGAC